UACGGGGGGGGCAAGCGUUGUUCGGAAUUACUGGGCGUAAAGGGCUCGUAGGUGGCCAACUAAGUCAGACGUGAAAUCCCUCGGCUUAACCGGGGAACUGCGUCUGAUACUGGAUGGCUUGAGUUCGGGAGAGGGAUGCGGAAUUCCAGGUGUAGCGGUGAAAUGCGUAGAUAUCUGGAGGAACACCGGUGGCGAAGGCGGCAUCCCUGGACCGACACUGACACUGAGGAGCGAAAGCCAGGGGAGCAAACGGG
rnacentral:rRNA from 1 species